rnacentral:snRNA from 1 species
GAAGUAUGAUCUGGCCUUGACAUCUGUCGCUACACUGAUCACCAGGGUUAGUUCAGCUUAUUUGAUUGACUAGAUCUGCAUUCCCUUCUUCACUCAUCAAUUCAUGGGCUUCCCUCUCAAUGCUGUAGAAGAGGAUGACCUUCCCCCAAUUAAGGAUGAUCUGUCUUUGAUCAAGUUUGCAUUGGUAGUUGUACUCCCGUGGUAGAACUUCUAAGUAAACAGUCUCUUACACAAUUCUAAGUUCCAUCAAGUUGUCAGUAGUAAUUAAAGGAUAUGUUAGCAUAAAUGUCUUU